rnacentral:rRNA from 1 species
GACGAACGCUGGCGGCGUGCUUAACACAUGCAAGUCGAACGGUAAGGCCCUUCGGGGUACACGAGUGGCGAACGGGUGAGUAACACGUGGGUGAUCUGCCCUGCACUUCGGGAUAAGCCUGGGAAAUUGGGUCUAAUACCGGAUAGGACCACUGCCUGCAUGGGUGGUGGUGGAAAGCUUUUGCGGUGUGGGAUGGGCCCGCGGCCUAUCAGCUUGUUGGUGGGGUGAUGGCCUACCAAGGCGACGACGGGUAGCCGGCCUGAGAGGGUGACCGGCCACGCAGGGACUGAGAGACGGCCCAGGCUCCUACGGGAGGCAGCAGUGGGGAAUAUUGCACAAUGGGCGCAAGCCUGAUGCAGCGACGCCGCGUGAGGGAUGACGGCCUUCGGGUUGUAAACCUCUUUCAGCACCGACGAAGCGCAAGUGACGGUAGGUGCAGAAGAAGGACCGGCCAACUACGUGCCAGCAGCCGCGGUAA